GCCAAAGCCACCGUGGGCAGCGUCCUGUAUUCACCCGUCAUUGUGGUGACUUUCGCCCCUGAAGAUCUAGAAACAACAUAUUUAACCAUGAAGGCUCCAGAAAUCCUGCUUUGGACAGCAACAGCAUUUCUAUCUUUGAGUGCGGUGGUGGGUGACUCGAUCCAGUCCAGUGAACCCGAGGUGUCCAGGUCAGAAGGAGACACCGUGACCCUCAGCUGUUCCUACGAUACCAGCUACACUGGCGCUGUCUAUCUCUACUGGUACCGUCAGUAUCCGAACCGAGCCCCGCAGUACAUCCUCCUGAGAGGAGCAAAAGGAAGCACGUUCAGUGACACUGCACAUUUCGCCCAGGAGAGGUUUUCUUCCCAGUCCGAUGACAGCUCCACAGUUCUGAACAUCUCAGCCCUGGAGCUGGCAGACACAGCGGUGUACCUCUGCGCCCUUCGUCUGGCACAGUGACAGAGCCUCACAGCAGAGCUGUACAAAAACCUCCCAGCCCUGCUGCAGGGGAUGGUACAGGCAUUAAAACGGGCUGCAGCACCUCGAAAAAG